rnacentral:rRNA from 1 species
GACGAACGCUGGCGGCGUGCCUAAUACAUGCAAGUCGAGCGGACUUUCCGGAGUGCUUGCACUCCGGAAGGUUAGCGGCGGGCGGGUGAGUCACACGUAGGCAACCUUCCCAUAAGAGCGGGCUAACAUUCGGAAACGAAUGCUAAUACCAGAUAGACGGACUUCUCGCAGGAGGGGAUCGGGAAAGGCCGAGCAGUCUGCCGCUUAUGGCUGGUCCUGCGGCGCAUUGGGUAGUUGGUGGGGUAAGGGCCUACCGAGGCGGGGACGGGGAGCCGACCGGGGAGGGGGAUAGGCGGCCUUGGAGCGUGGACGCGGCCCAGGGGCCUGCGGGAGGCAGCAGUAGGGAAUCGGCCGCAAUGGACGGAAGUAUGACGGAGCAACGCGGCGCGAGUGAGGAAGGCCUUCGGGGCGGAAAGCUCGGUUGCCAGGGAAGAACGGGCAGGGGAGGAACUGCCGUGGCCACGACGGUACCUGAGAAGAAAGCCCCGGCUAACUACGUG